GAUCUUGGCUCAGGAUGAACGCUAGCUACAGGCUUAACACAUGCAAGUCGAGGGGCAGCAUUUCAGUUUGCUUGCAAACUGGAGAUGGCGACCGGCGCACGGGUGAGUAACACGUAUCCAACCUGCCGUCUACUCUUGGACAGCCUUCUGAAAGGAAGAUUAAUACAAGAUGGCAUCAUGAGUCCGCAUGUUCACAUGAUUAAAGGUAUUCCGGUAGACGAUGGGG
rnacentral:rRNA from 1 species